AACCCCCUUCCCCUGACCAAGAGCUAGGGGCCUGGCUCGCAGCCUCCGCGGGGCUGGAAGCCCAGAACCUAGUCAAAGAAGCUAGUGGCAGUCGGACUCUCAGGCUUGAGAUCUGAUGUCCCAGAGCCUUCAGUACCACGGUCCCGUCCGUAGCACUUUGGUGCCGCCGCUGCAGCGCUGACCGCGCUGGCAACCCACCCUCCCGGGAUACCCGUCAGCUGGGUGGUCCCCGGUCUCGUGCGGCCUACGCUCUUCUCCGGGGACCCGCUCUGAGGACCCCUGGGACUCAGGUGGCCCGUUCGUGGGUACAGCUGCCGUGCUGACGCGCUGCACCUAAACCCCGGCCUGGCUGUGGACAAGGACCGAGAGGGAAGGCGGGGGCCGCGACUUGCACGGUGGAGAUACCCUGUGCAGAACCUUAGAUUCCCGGCGGGCCUGGGGAGCAGAGAACCGGGGGACACCUCGGACCUAAGGCUGGGCAGCCCCGGACUGGUAACUGGUGAAGCAGAGUGGCCGAAGCAGCAAACUCGGGCACGGGUGACUGUGGGCUGCUGUAGUCUAUCUCGCUUGCUGGGAUCAUACGGAUGGGGUCAGCCUGGAGCCCUGAAGCUUGGAAGGGGAUUCUGAUCAAUUUCAGAAAAGCGUAGGGGUGAGGCCAGAGGACGUGGUGGCAUACACCUGACUUCUCGGGAUUUGGGAGGUGGAGGCAGGGGGAGUAGGCGCUCAAGGUCAUUCUCUACUGCCUAACGUUGGGUUGCAAGAG
rnacentral:lncRNA from 1 species